rfam:Stegodyphus mimosarum contig43014, whole genome shotgun sequence.
GCGUUCGUGGUGUAGUGGUCAGCACCCUCGACUCGUAACCGAGAGUUCCGUGGUUCGAUUCCCAGCGAUGGCG